CAUCAUUUAUCCUGGUUAGCACAUGGUGACAUGUUAUGCUUAUGGUCCAACCCUUCUUAAGAGGAGCAACAUGAGAGCCAUAAACCUUCUUUAACUCUAAUGGACAGCAAAGCAAGACCAAUUUUGGAUGUAGAGAGAAGGGAGGUAAACUAGGUUAAAUAUACAUGUGAAAGGAUAAUAUAAAGGUAAAGAAAGGGGAGAAAAAGGUCGCGCUAUCCCAACCAAUUGCUGACCUGUCUCUUAAGUAGGGCUUCCUGUGGGACUUUCUUUGCUCUUUUAAACAUGGUGGUUAGAUUAUUGUGGAUGCAUCAUAGGGCUGGCAAACUAAACCUUGACACACUAGCCUGCCUGAAGCUGCCUAUGAAAAACCAGUUUUGUUUCAGCCUUGUGGUAGUUCAAUGAAAUUUUGGUCAACUUGAACCCAGCAUAGCAAAAAGUAUUAGUGGGCUUCAGGUUUGGGCACCUGGAUCCAUCCAGGAGCCUAUCAACAUAACAAAUAAACAAGG
rnacentral:lncRNA from 1 species